UACAGAGGGGGCAAGCGUUGUUCGGAAUUACUGGGCGUAAAGGGCGCGUAGGCGGCCCGCUAAGUCGAACGUGAAAUCCCCGAGCUCAACUCGGGAACUGCGUCCGAUACUGGAUGGCUUGAAUUCGGGAGAGGGAUGCAGAAUUCCAGGUGUAGCGGUGAAAUGCGUAGAUAUCUGGAGGAAUACCGGUGGCGAAGGCGGCAUCCUGGACCGACAUUGACGCUGAGGAGCGAAAGCCAGGGGAGCAAACGGG
rnacentral:rRNA from 1 species